GGGGAGUGAAAAAGAACCUGAAACCGUGUACGUACAAGCAGUGGGAGCACCUUCGGGUGUGACUGCGUACCUUUUGUAUAAUGGGUCAGCGACUUAUAUUCUGUAGCAAGGUUAACCGUAUAGGGGAGCCGCAGGGAAACCGAGUCUUAACUGGGCGUUAAGUUGCAGGGUAUAGACCCGAAACCCGGUGAUCUAGCCAUGGGCAGGUUGAAGGUUGGGUAACACUAACUGGAGGACCGAACCGACUAAUGUUGAAAAAUUAGCGGAUGACUUGUGGCUGGGGGUGAAAGGCCAAUCAAACCGGGAGAUAGCUGGUUCUCCCCGAAAGCUAUUUAGGUAGCGCCUCGUGAACUCAUCUUCGGGGGUAGAGCACUGUUUCGGCUAGGGGGUCAUCCCGACUUACCAACCCGAUGCAAACUACGAAUACCGAAGAAUGUUAUCACGGGAGACACACGGCGGGUGCUAACGUCCGUCGUGAAGAGGGAAACAACCCAGACCGCCAGCUAAGGUCCCAAAGUCAUGGUUAAGUGGGAAACGAUGUGGGAAGGCACAGACAGCCAGGAUGUUGGCUUAGAAGCAGCCAUCAUUUAAAGAAAGCGUAAUAGCUCACUGGUCGAGUCGGCCUGCGCGGAAGAUGUAACGGGGCUAAACCAUGCACCGAAGCUGCGGCAGCGACACUAUGUGUUGUUGGGUAGGGGAGCGUUCUGUAAGCCUGCGAAGGUGUGCUGUGAGGCAUGCUGGAGGUAUCAGAAGUGCGAAUGCUGACAUAAGUAACGAUAAAGCGGGUGAAAAGCCCGCUCGCCGGAAGACCAAGGGUUCCUGUCCAACGUUAAUCGGGGCAGGGUGAGUCGACCCCUAAGGCGAGGCCGAAAGGCGUAGUCGAUGGGAAACAGGUUAAUAUUCCUGUACUUGGUGUUACUGCGAAGGGGGGACGGAGAAGGCUAUGUUAGCCGGGCGACGGUUGUCCCGGUUUAAGCAUGUAGGCUGAUUGUCCAGGCAAAUCCGGAUAAUCAAGGCUGAGGUGUGAUGACGAGGCACUACGGUGCUGAAGUAACAAAUGCCCUGCUUCCAGGAAAAGCCUCUAAGCAUCAGGUAACAUUAAAUCGUACCCCAAACCGACACAGGUGGUCAGGUAGAGAAUACCAAGGCGCUUGAGAGAACUCGGGUGAAGGAACUAGGCAAAAUGGUGCCGUAACUUCGGGAGAAGGCACGCUGGUGUGUAGGUGAAGUCCCUGCGGAUGGAGCUGAGACCAGUCGAAGAUACCAGCUGGCUGCAACUGUUUAUUAAAAACACAGCACUGUGCAAACACGAAAGUGGACGUAUACGGUGUGACGCCUGCCCGGUGCCGGAAGGUUAAUUGAUGGGGUUAUCCGUAAGGAGAAGCUCUUGAUCGAAGCCCCGGUAAACGGCGGCCGUAACUAUAACGGUCCUAAGGUAGCGAAAUUCCUUGUCGGGUAAGUUCCGACCUGCACGAAUGGCGUAAUGAUGGCCAGGCUGUCUCCACCCGAGACUCAGUGAAAUUGAACUCGCUGUGAAGAUGCAGUGUACCCGCGGCAAGACGGAAAGACCCCGUGAACCUUUACUAUAGCUUGACACUGAACAUUGAGCCUUGAUGUGUAGGAUAGGUGGGAGGCUUUGAAGCGUGGACGCCAGUCUGCGUGGAGCCAACCUUGAAAUACCACCCUUUAAUGUUUGAUGUUCUAACGUUGGCCCCUGACCGGGGUUGCGGACAGUGUCUGGUGGGUAGUUUGACUGGGGCGGUCUCCUCCCAAAGCGUAACGGAGGAGCACGAAGGUUAGCUAAUCCUGGUCGGACAUCAGGAGGUUAGUGCAAUGGCAUAAGCUAGCUUGACUGCGAGCGUGACGGCGCGAGCAGGUGCGAAAGCAGGUCAUAGUGAUCCGGUGGUUCUGAAUGGAAGGGCCAUCGCUCAACGGAUAAAAGGUACUCCGGGGAUAACAGGCUGAUACCGCCCAAGAGUUCAUAUCGACGGCGGUGUUUGGCACCUCGAUGUCGGCUCAUCACAUCCUGGGGCUGAAGUAGGUCCCAAGGGUAUGGCUGUUCGCCAUUUAAAGUGGUACGCGAGCUGGGUUUAGAACGUCGUGAGACAGUUCGGUCCCUAUCUGCCGUGGGCGCUGGAGAAUUGAGGGGGGCUGCUCCUAGUACGAGAGGACCGGAGUGGACGCAUCACUGGUGUUCGGGUUGUCAUGCCAAUGGCACUGCCCGGUAGCUAAAUGCGGAAGAGAUAAGUGCUGAAAGCAUCUAAGCACGAAACUUGCCCCG
rnacentral:rRNA from 1 species